rnacentral:rRNA from 1 species
AUGGAGAAGGGACGAGAAGAUAAAGAUGAUUCACUAAUUCAAUCGCUGGCCUCCUCCUGUGUUCCUUGGGUUGCAUAUGUAGCCAAUGCUAUGUUGGACUUAGCCUCCAAUGACCAAGCCAGCCUAGGCCUAGGUUACAAACAUACAAUGGCAGAUCAUAGUGUAUCUUAUACAUACCCAAUUGGUUGUGAAAGCAAUUUUUAUCUUGCACAUGCAUUACCUAUCCGUCAUGGAAGAACAAGGGCGAAGAGAAACCCCAGGCAUGACCGCAUGCAGUAUAUUCCCGGUGAUGAUGGGGAACAAGAGGCCGCAAGUGUUGGCAUCGUCUUUUGUAGAUCUAUCACCGGUGGCCACUUGUGUGGAUGUUGCGGGUCUGCCAGAGCGUCUGUAGUCAGCAGAUUGCCAGUGCCAGAGAUCUUCCUCCCUCGCCAAGGACUUCUUCAUGUGUGUGAUCUGUUGGUAUCACGGAGUGUGGAGGUGAUAACACAAAGGGAUUUCAAUUUGGUGGUGCUUCACAAGUACCUGGUCUCAAGCUCUGCAGGAAACCCUAGGUUUGACCCUUGUUGGCUAUAUCUGGCAAUGGCGAUGUCUUUGCAUCAUCACCUUGUUGAAGGCAUUGCUUGGACUUUGCUCAAACUUGAUCUUCGGAGUGAAAACUCACGAUCUGACCUUUUGGUGGUUGGAUCCGUCAACUUCGACGACUUGGCAAGGAUUAAAUGGGUGUCAGAAUUAUUCUUGUCUGUGUCAAGGAGAUGGGAUGUGAAUUUCGUCAAUCACUUGUUCUUUCCCCAUGACGCCGAUGAAAUUUUAAAGUUGCGUAUACAGUCCUCGGGUGAGGGUGAUUUUAUUGCUUGGCACUAUGAGAAGAGUGGUUUGUUCACAGUAAAAAGUGCAUAUAAUCUGGCGCUUAGUCUCAAGGAGGGGAAGGAGGAGCAAGGGCAAUCUAGUGGAGGCGCGAAUGGGGAUAGGAAACUUUGGAAUGUCAUUUGGAAAGCCAAUGUUCCUCAAAAGAUCAGAAUUUUUGCAUGGCGGGUGGCUUCUAAUAGCCUAGCGGUACAAGUUAAUAGAGUUAAGCACCAUCAGGCUACUUCUGGAUUAUGCUCUAUUUGUGGUAUGGAGGAUGAAAGUACGUUUCAUGCUUUGGUGACAUGUCCGAAGGUGAGAGCUCUGCGCAUGGAGUUGAGGGGAGUGUGGAAUGUUCCCAGAGAAGAAGUGUUUAAGUGCUCAGGACCCGAUUGGAUGCUCAUCUUGUUGGACCAAUUAGCCACUACUGUUUGUGAGCAAAUCUUAUUCAUGUUCUGGAGAGCUUGGCACCUACGCAAUGAUCUUAUUUUUGCCAAAGGGAAAGAGUCUGUUUCAAACUCGGCUAAUUUUGUGGAUAAUUAUUGGCCGACAUUUUCAUCUUGUCAUCAUGCAAAAACCGCCACAGGAGUCAAAGGUAAGGGAGCGGUGGUGGGGUUGCAGUCUCGUACAUCUCCACCGUGUAUCUGUGAGGUAUGGCUCCCCCCGCCUUUUGACUAUAUUAAGAUCAACGUGGAUGCUAGUUUUGUGGAGAGUAUUUGUGCUGCGAGUGUGGGAGUUGUUGCCAGGAAUUCGGUCGGCGAAGUUGUCUUUUCCUCUUGGGAUUAUAUUGACUGCUCUUUUGUGGUUUCUUUUCUUACACAUGAUAACCUUGAUAGAUCGGCUCUGGUGGAUCUCAAGAAGGAAGCCUUAGUCCUUACCAAGCUUCUGCCAAAUGUUAAGCUGGCGAAGAUCAAAAGACAUGCAAACGAGGUGGCUCAUCAGAUAGCUAAGUUUAGUUUUGAUAAUAGGUUGGAUGGUCUUCUAUGUAGUGUAGCAGGAACAUUCCCAAUACCUCAUAUUCCUAGCUAUGUAGGUGUAGACCUCGUGCUGGCGGGGAUGUUGGGGAAUGAGGAUUGGAUCGUCCAUGCCAUGGAAAAGGAUAAGAGAAAUCCUAUAGGCUAUAUAUCAAUAGAUCUAAGUGGGCUGCACUAA